rnacentral:tRNA from 1 species
GCCGUCGUAGCUCAGUGGUAGAGCAUCCGCUUCGUAAGCGGGAGGUCGCGGGUUCAAAUCCCAUCGACGGCACCA